AACGAACGCUGGCGGCAUGCCUAACACAUGCAAGUCGAACGAGACCUUCGGGUCUAGUGGCGCACGGGUGCGGAACGCGUGGGAAGCUACCCGCAGAUUCGGAAUAACUCAGAGAAAGAUGAGCUAAUACCGGAGGAGGACGUAAGUCCAAAGAUUUAUCGCCUGAGGAUGAGCCCGCUUAGGAUUAGGUAGUUGGGGAGGUAAAGGCUCACCAAGCCGACGAUCCUUAGCUGGUCGGAGAGGAUGCUCAGCCACGCUGGGACUGAGACACGGCCCAGACUCCUACGGGAGGCAGCAGUGGGGAAUAUUGGACGAUGGGCGCUAGCCUGAUCCAGCCGUGCCGCGUGAGUGAUGAAGGCCUUAGUGUUGUAAAUCUCUUUUACCCGGGAUGAUAAUGACAGUACCGGGAGAAUAAGCUCCGGCUAACUCCGUG
rnacentral:rRNA from 1 species